UACGUAGGGGGCUAGCGUUGUCCGGAUUUAUUGGGCGUGAAGAGCGUGUAGGCGGCCAUGUAGGUCCGGUGUGAAAACUCGAGGCUUAACCUCGAGAUGUCAUCGGAAACCAUUUGGCUAGAGUCCGGAAGAGGAGAGUGGAAUUCCUGGUGUAGCGGUGAAAUGCGCAGAUAUCAGGAAGAACACCAAUGGCGAAAGCAGCUCUCUGGGACGGUACUGACGCUGAGACGCGAAAGCGUGGGGAGCGAACAGG
rnacentral:rRNA from 1 species